CAGAGUCUCUUUGUUCAUUCCAUCGACGUCACAGUACCAAGUAGCCAAUGGUUCUGCUACUCCCGUCAAAGCCUCUAUGCCGCUACCGUUCCUCUCCCGAUGCACCAAGUGCUGUUCAUUAUGAUCUAAAACGGCCCAUUUAUACCCAACUCGCAUCUGCAAUUACUUCCUCUAGUUUUCCUACUGACUGCCGAUUUAGUCUCUGAUGUUAUCUGAUCAUUCCCAAAAUUCUUCUUCUUCCAUUGGCCCCCAGAACACUACUCGCCACCGUUCUCCUUUUAAACAGCGCAAACUCGAGCAAGAAUCUAACAAAUACAACAAAGUCCUCACUCUUGGCCCAGAUGCUUAUAGAGACCACAAAACGGUCAAUCUUGGCUUUAAUAUAGCAGUGGAGCUUUUUUUUUUCUUUCGUUGGGUAGAAACUUAUUUUAGCUUUGCACAUGCUGAAAUGACGUGUAGAGAGAUGG
rnacentral:misc_RNA from 1 species